GCUGCGGCACGGCCUGGCCGCGAGCACCGCGGCCGCUCUGCGCCACGAUCCCGGGCUCGCCAUGCAUUGGUCACCCGAGGAGCAGGCCGUGCUCGACGACGGAUUGGCCAAGUAUGCGCUUGAUGCAGCUAUAGUUCGCUAUGCAAAAAUUGCUCUGCGUCUGCCCAAUAAGACAGUACGAGAUGUCGCCCUUCGCUGCAGAUGGAUGACUGUAACUAAUUUGCUGGCACAUUUCCAACAACAAGGAAACCAAGAUCUUCACAGCGUGUUAAAUUAUCUUGCAAUGGGAAGUAACAACAAAAUGCAUAUCUUCAUCUCAGUCAUCUGCUAGAGCAACCUCAACAAUGCUUAUGGCUGUAAUUGGUUCCAUAGCUCUGUUUCCAAAGGUGUUGGACAUCAAGAAGUAUGCAUACGGAGAAAUAAGUUUCAAAUCAUUCACAAGGGCAAGCAACUUCUGAAUACGAAUGAUGCAAGAUUUUGAUCAAAGAACACAUACUGUCUGCUCAAGCAGAUACACCGUAGUCCACAAACCGCUCACCAAAGAAUCUGGGCUGCUUGUUGGUGUGGCGGACUAUGGAAGGAACAUGGACACUUGGAUUCAGCUACUGAUGAUCCCGUCUACACUAAUUUGUGUGUGGCUCUAGAGAAAUUUAAGUUUGCUCUUUUAUAGGUAGUAAAGAUUAUCAAUUGGCACCUCUGGACUAGACCCUGGAGCCAACAAGAAACAUCGAACAAGCAACUAGGUCUGAUUUGAUCCUUCCAUCCACGGAGAAGAAACUUGUAGAAAUCAAGGAGUAACUAGGUUAAUUUGUCGGUGCGCUCUCAUCCAAGUGAUUUUGUUUUCUAAGUCAUAAUAUAGUAAAAAUUAUUA